CACGCCUCCCAGCUGCAGCUGUGCGCGGAUGACGGGCUUCCACCGACCACCGCUGGCUGCCCUCAUGGCCAAGGCCAAUGGCACGACUGGUGCAGCUGUCGAGCCUGCUGCGCCUUAUCUAGCUUUGUUUGCCAUGAAUAUGAAAUGUGCAAGAAAAUGGCUGCUGCUUCUUCUUUAGCAUAUGAAUGUGUCGAAAUAGCUUAUCUCAAGGCUGCAUACCACAAGUACGCCAUUGCAAGCAAGGAUCGUCAGGUGUUUCAGGCAGCUGUGCAGACUGCACCAGGUCUUUAAAGAAAGUUCUAACGGCAGGUUUUGAUCCACCUAGAUCUCGAUGGCGCUGGAAACUCUAAUUGAAGAAACGAACUUGUGUUGUCACUGUGGCCCUACAUUUUGUGCUGACUGCUCAAGAUUGCCAGGUAGCAGCCUAUUUUGCUGUGUAAUGUACUGCUAUGCAGCCCACUCACAAGAGAUCCCUGAACCAUAUCUGAAUGGGGAAUCAGUUCCCAUUCCCUUUAAUGUACUUUUAAAAGGAGUUGGCUGAACUUGUGCACGGUCCAUUUUCUUUGCCGGCUAGCAAGGGUUGGGGUAGUUGACAUGGCUUGCAAUGGUCCUCUAAUUCAGGUGCAUUAUACCGUUGUUCAUUUAUACCAUUCAAAUUUCUCAUGUUCGAAGAUGAUGCAGUUUCAUGAUAGAUUUUCAGAAGUACUAAACUGAGGCAUCUUUCAAGAUAAACCAUGUUUGUUUGUCUUUCGAAACUUGAUAAACCAUGUUUGUUGUUCAAAAUGAUCUUUUCAGGCUUCAGUUCUCUGUUUCACCACACUACUUGCUGUGGAAUAGUGUAGACAUUCAGAAACUGGACUAAUAGCCUGCUUAGUCUUGUGAGCUGGGUAAGCCCUCUUUGGGCCUUACAUGUAUUUACAUAUUGUUCCCAUACAUUCUUUUCUUUCUUAAAUAAACGAAUAUAUUGUGCAUGUAGUUCUAUUGUACAUUCUGUGUAAUUGCAUGAUCUACUGACAGGGGAUCUUUUGAAUCAAAUAUGGCUUUCUCACUUCAAGUCAUGUAGGCACGACUGAAGAGGUACUGUAUCUGCUCCCUUACGACUGUGCUUGCUGAAGGAAUUGGCUCCACCUCUUCCUUUUCAGAUUUAAGAACCGUGUAAUUUUGAAAGAGCGUAAUCUUAUUCCGUUGCGCCACAACCUA